AGCGAGUUUUCUUUAGCUAAUGGACCAGUUAGCAUCGUAAUGUUUAGCAGGCCCAAACAAAAAAAGCAGCGCUCAGGAGAGGAAGGAAAGAAGAGAAAAGCAUGAGUUUACUGCUGAACUGACGACAUUAGAUAACUUUUUACUCACCAUGCUUCAAGUUUAUCGAAUGCUAGCAAUGUUUACGUGCAACCGGAAGCUAACGGUAGCUGGAUUGGCUACAUUAUCAAAACAGAACACCAGCGGCAAGAGUCUGGAUUUGCGCAGUGUUGUCAAUGUCUUUGAGGGCGGAUGAACUUUUAAUAGGGGCAGCCACAGAAAAGUCUUAAAGCUGCAACAGCAACAUCUUUCAUCAUAUGACUGUCGGCGUUAAUUUUCACUCACCUCCUCUGCUUCUACCCCAACUUCCACCCUGCUUGGCUCAGUGUAGCACCACACCAGCACCCAUGGGCUCCCCCUGCUCUCCAGCUACAGCAACAGAAAGCAUCCUUUCUGCAAAGUCCUCAGUGGCAUUUCUUCACCAUUAAGCACUCUCAGCUACCACAGCCUUUAGACUUAAAUUGAAAAACUGGCCAAAUAUGGAGUGUGGGAUGAAUAUAUGAAUGACAAAUGAACCACUGAGGAAAAAGAAAGCCAAAUGGUCACCCCCCCCCCAAAAAAAAAAGAAACAAACAAAACAAAACAAAAAAAAAAAAUCAGCAGAAGCCCAUAGGAUAUGGCACUCACAUAAAUGAUAUGAAUUAUAUGAAUGCCAUGGACUUUCAGUGUCAAAAAGAAUGAGAGACGAGCUCUUUCUUUUUUCCUCUCCCCUGCUACCUCCCUGUUGUACCCUCUUCAUUCCCACUGACAUUCCCCAGACAGCUGAUGGAUAUCAGACCAUGUCCUCCAGGAGACAUAUCCCAUUAUCAUACUGCCACAGCGCACAUCCACAGACCCAUCUCUGCUCUAAUCAAUGGCCAUGCAGCACAGCAGAGAAGCACAAACAAGAUGCACACAGCAAAACCUUCAGUAAAUAAUGACACAGAUAGAUGAACACAGAUGACAGUGAAAGGAGGGGACGUAAUCUAUAUCUCAGACGACACAUGGCUGAUUCCGUCACAUCUGCCUAAAUCAAUAUAGAUAGAAAUCCAG